rnacentral:misc_RNA from 1 species
UAAUUUAUCCUGAUGCUCCAACUCCAUAGACAGUUCUUGGAUUCUCCUGUCCUUUUUAUCCAUUGCAUUACCAGAAGAACAGCCAGAAGGCACCAAUUGAUGGGUAUGCUCCUUGACGAAUCUCGUCACAACCCACUUAUCAGACUUGUUAACCUUUACCAACAACAUUGCCUUGCACCCUUCUCGUGUGCUGGUGCGUGCUUUUCGGGGUGGUCCAUGAUGGUUUUUCAUUUUCACAUAAUGGCCCUGCUUGUUACAUGAAAGUCGUCGUGAAAGGCUUCUCUUGUCAACUUCUGAACGCCGGCACUGAUCAAUGCGCAUGAUAAACCCAACACGCCUAGCAUAGUAAUCAUAAAAUUCCUUGGCAGCAUAUUCCGACUCAAACUCCAUCCCGAUAAAUGGUUCAGGAACCACAUUGUCUUGACAUACAACGGACUGACUUUCAGCAGAACAAUCUAUAGUAGUAACUCCAGCCUUUAAGUCCACUGCCACACCAAAAUGAUGCGUAUCACUUGUAUGGACAGCGGAGGCCGCUUUUGAUGUUCCGCUAGGGACCAAAUUUUGUGGGUUUAGGGCCGUUG